rnacentral:lncRNA from 1 species
GUGUGUGUGUGUGUGUGUGUGUGAGAGAGAGAGAGAGAGAGAGAGAGAGAGAGAGAACGAGAGAAAGGGCGGGAGAACAUCAGCAGGGAUGCAGUUCUGCACGAUAUAUAUAAAUAUGAAGAUUUUUGCACAGUUGAGAUGACAGGCGUCAAUCUCAACUGUCACGGUCACUAGGUGACAUCAAGUAAAGCGGAUUGUUGCCAGGUGCGCACUUUUUCUGCCAAAUCAUGAUGUCGAGGAAACAGACCUGUAGUUGUUGCUAAAACCUCGCACUGCAUGUAGUUUCUCCGUUUUAUUACAUGUUGGGAGUUUUUUUUACUAUUUUUUGGGCUUGAUGGCACGCGCCAAUAAAAGCUGCAGGUUGGCCACGCCCUUUACUUCCUUAUUGUGGUCGGCGCGGAAACAGACCCGCACCUGCUGCCGAUGGCGUCUCUGUGCUUCGUCUCGGCCGUCGUGGUGUGGUUAUUCACGGUUGUCAGCGGUAACGCGUUUCACCCUGGCCGAGAGGACCGGAGGCUGCUGGAGGCCGCCAGCGCCAGCGGCGCCAACGCCACCGAGCUGCACUACGGCUUCAUCUCCUGCGCCGUGACCGUCAUCUUCUACAGCAGCAACAUGGUCCCCGGCAAGAGGACGUGCGCGGCGGACAGUAAGGCGAACGCGAUGACGUCACCUUAUUCAGUCUUCUUCAAAGGGGGGAUUUGCACCUUUUACUGUUGCACAGGUCAAAUGAGUAGAUUCUGAAAUCAAAACAAUCAUACGAGAAUUAAAAAGUCAAAUAUUGUUGGUAUUUCUGGUUAUAAAAUCUCCCCUUCAUUUACUGAUGGUGCAGCAGCGGGUCACUGAAGGAGCUGCUGAUGGAGUGGGAGGGAUGUUAACUUAACCCCUCCCUAUCUCCACAGUGGUGGCCCAGCGGUAAGGGAGCGAACUUGUGCGUCCGAACCCCUCCGGGUGCCUUUCGUCAAUAAGGACACCGUGUGCACCGUGUACUGCAGCAAAAACGAUCGCAUGACUUCACAGGGUCAAGCGGGCAUCUUGUAAAAGAUGGAGGAGUGUCCUGUUUCUUCCUGCCCAAGUGAUGUAUUAAACUAAAUCAUAACAUACUUCACCCUUGAAAAAUAUCCCAACUAGUGGUACAUGUGGUGUCAGUAAAUAGUGAGGCUCACAACAAAACCGUUCUCUGUGGAAGGAGCAGCCAUGGAGAACGUGAGGACCCCGGAGGACCCUGACGUAAUGACCUUCUGAUCGGCAGGCUGGAUUUUGUCUCUGCUUGUUUUGCAGGGAACUCCACAGGCAUGCAGACAGUGAGUCCCAGUAGUCUCAGCCUGGGGGUCCUGCUCUGGGCUUCAUUCAACCUGCUGGUGGGGUGGGCCAGUAGCAGGUGUAUGUGUGUCUACCUGCCUACCUGCCCACUGAGAUACUGUCUUGCACACUGCCUGGCUGUUCGUUUGUGAAGGUAUCCCUGCUGUCACGCACACACACACACACACACACACACACACACAGAACCUGAAGUUACGGUGACCUCUGUUUUUACCUGAGAAUAUAAAAUAAUUCUGCACUUAGAGAUGCAAACUUCAAAGAACAGAACAGGAUUAGAACUUGUUAAAUGGAAUGAAUGAACUUAACAGCUGUUUCAGUUGUUGCAGGGUGAAAAUGCAAUUUAUAGACAACCAGCAAAUAACAAUAUUGUUGAAAUAUUAUUGGUGCUAUAUUUAAAACUUGUGUGAUUUACUAUGACUGG